rnacentral:rRNA from 1 species
UACAGAGGGGGCGAGCGUUGUUCGGAAUUACUGGGCGUAAAGGGCGCGUAGGCGGCCAACUAAGUCAGACGUGAAAUCCCUCGGCUCAACCGGGGAACUGCGUCUGAUACUGGAUGGCUUGAAUUCGGGAGAGGGAUGCGGAAUUCCAGGUGUAGCGGUGAAAUGCGUAGAUAUCUGGAGGAACACCGGUGGCGAAGGCGGCUAUCUGGACCGACAUUGACGCUGAGGCGCGAAAGCGUGGGGAGCAAACAGG